GUGGGGAAUCUUGCGCAAUGGGGGAAACCCUGACGCAGCAACGCCGCGUGGGUGAUGAAGGCCUUCGGGUCGUAAAGCCCUGUCAGGUGGAAAGAAUUGUGCCGGUGUAAAUAAUGCCGGCAUUUGACGGUACCACCGGAGGAAGCACCGGCUAACUCCGUGCCAGCAGCCGCGGUAAUACGGAGGGUGCAAGCGUUGUUCGGAAUUAUUGGGCGUAAAGCGCGUGUAGGCGGUCUGGUAAGUCAGAUGUGAAAGCCUUCUGCUCAACAGAAGAAGUGCAUUUGAAACUGCUAGGCUGGAGUACGGGAGAGGAGAGUGGAAUUCCCGGUGUAGAGGUGAAAUUCGUAGAUAUCGGGAGGAACACCAGUGGCGAAGGCGGCUCUCUGGUCCGAUACUGACGCUGAGACGCGAAAGCGUGGGGAGCAAACAGGAUUAGAAACCCGUGUAGUCC
rnacentral:rRNA from 1 species